rnacentral:rRNA from 1 species
GACGAACGCUGGCUGCGUGCUUAACACAUGCAAGUCGAACGCUGAAGCCCCAGCUUGCUGGGGUGGAUGAGUGGCGAACGGGUGAGUAACACGUGAGUAACCUGCCCCUGACUUCGGGAUAAGCCCGGGAAACUGGGUCUAAUACCGGAUACGACUAUCGGACGCAUGUCUGGUGGUGGAAAGUUUUUUCGGUUGGGGAUGGGCUCGCGGCCUAUCAGUUUGUUGGUGAGGUAAUGGCUCACCAAGACGACGACGGGUAGCCGGCCUGAGAGGGCGACCGGCCACACUGGGACUGAGACACGGCCCAGACUCCUACGGGAGGCAGCAGUGGGGAAUAUUGCACAAUGGGGGAAACCCCGAUGCAGCGACGCAGCGUGCGGGAUGACGGCCUUCGGGUUGUAAACCGCUUUCAGCAGGGAAGAAGCCUUCGGGUGACGGUACCUGCAGAAGAAGUACCGGCUAACUACGUG